rnacentral:lncRNA from 1 species
ACUGAGGUGAACUAUUAUAGUGAUGGACUUAAUUAUUCUUCAAACAUCCGAGAUGGUUUCUCCAACUAGACCAUAGCUAGCCAUAAUCUUAUAUCUCGCUCAUAUGUACAGCUGUAUGCUAACUCACUUAUAGGUAGCUCUCUAACCACCUAACAGACUCCUCUAAUGGCCUAAUAAACUCUGUAACAGCUUGUUCAAUCUCUCUACAAAUAGAGGGUUUGGGAUCUUCCAUCAGUAGAUUCUGCUCUCUGAAACUAGGAAAGACUCUAUCAAUAAAAAAUUAGAACAGACUCUUGACUUCCAUCCAGUUCUAUUCUAUCUCACUUGCUCUUCCACUCUUUUCCACCUCUAUUCUCAAGGCUCGAACUGACUUAAGCAUAGAAGGGUCAAGAAUCAAAUAAUCUCCAUCCGAUUUUUUGACUGAUUUUGCAGAUUGGAGGAAUUCUCACUAGGUCGCGAGGAUCAUUCCAGCCCAGCCUUACUCUAGUUGAUCAAUGCUAC